GUAGGUGGCAAGCGUUGUCCGGAAUUAUUGGGGCGUAAAGCGCGCGCAGGCGGGGUCCUUUAAGUCUGAUGUGAAAGCCCACGGGCUCAACCGUGGAGGGUCAUUGGAAACUGGGGGACUUGAGUACAGAAGAGGAAAGCGGAAUUCCAAGUGUAGCGGUGAAAUGCGUAGAGAUUUGGAGGAACACCAGUGGCGAAGGCGGCUUUCUGGUCUGUAACUGACGCUGAGGCGCGAAAGCGUGGGGAGCAAACAGGAUUAGAUACCCUGGUAGUCCACGCCGUAAACGAUGAGUGCUAAGUGUUAGGGGGUUUCCGCCCCUUAGUGCUGCAGCUAACGCAUUAAGCACUCCGCCUGGGGAGUACGGCCGCAAAGGCUG
rnacentral:rRNA from 1 species